UGAAAUUGAAUAAUCAAAAUCAAUUUCUUACCAUGUUCUCAAGAUAUUCUAAAUUUUCAGGAUUCCUUGAUUUCAUAUUACAAUAAUAUGUACCGUCUUAGUUACAUUUGGUAAGAACUUUAUGAAAACAAUCUAUUUAAAGGGCUUUCUCCUCUUUUGAGAAUCAAGUCAUAUCGCAAAAAAAAAGGUUUAUCUUAAUUUGCUCUAGUUUCUUAACCAAUGGCUUCUGGGAAUCGGGGUUCUAGUUUUGAACAAGAACUUAUCAAGUGAGUUUCUUUCAGUUUCCUUUUUUUUUUCUUGCUUGUUAUUUAUUUACUAUUUUCAUGAAGUUUUUAUGGUGCUUUUUAAUGUUAGAGCAAAGAAUGAAAACAAGCUACUUAAGCUCGAAUACAAAAUGCUCCUUUUGGAACACAAAUUGCUUUGUGAAUGUUUGAAGAAUCCAACAUGCUGUACUUGCAGUGAAGGACAAAAGGGACAUCUUGAAACAAUGGAGGAG
rnacentral:lncRNA from 1 species